CAUCUUCUGUCAUUUUUACGAAGUCUCUCGUUUCUUUCCAAAAUUUAAAUAAGACCUGAGACCCCUCUUAUGUAAAAGGCUAAUAACAGGAAAAUAAGUCCUAACUAAAAGCAGAAAUAGAAAUGUUAAUGUAUUGGGGCACAUUUGACAGGCAUCGCACUGCUUCUCCGACACACAUAAGGAAGCUGUGUUACAGGCUUUCACCUUUUAAUAAUAAACUUGCAGAUCAAGAAGUCAUCUGUGGCCAACAAAUCAUCCCUCUGGGGUAUCACAUGAAUGUGUACACUAAGAGAAUUCUCGUUCAACUUGAAUAAUGGCAAAGAAGGCCUGGUUUUGUUAGCUCUGUGUUUUUAGUUCUCAGUCCAUUCCAUUGUAUUUCAAACCCCCAUGAUCUGCGAAUAAACAAAAACUGGUAAACAAUGAAAAAGGCGGUAUUAAUACAUAUAGGAUGUGUACAUGAGCAAUCAAAUCACACGAGUGUAAACUUUGAAUAAGAGCACGUCACUUCUAGGUAAAUUUACACAGAAAUUAAAUUUCGCUGCCCCUCGUUUUAAACAUAAUCCUAGGCUGAAUUUUUAUAGUGCACUGAUCGAUAUCUUGGUAAAAUAAUCAUUUUUUUUUUUUUAAACUAGCGAGGCAGUGAAAUCUUUGCUUUGUUGCUAAAGUCAACAUUGACAGAGUUUGAGCUCAAAUAAAUGCCGCGAGGCUUCCAGCCCUGUGCAGAAGGCAGCGGGAGAGGCUCCGAUACCGUUCUGCAGGCUCCAGAUCUGAACCAAUCAGUUGUCAUCUUCAUCGUAGUGCCACUUCAUUUGGCAACUGCUGGUUCAACCCUUUCCAUCAGCCACGUUCACCUGCAGCUACCCACAGUCACGUCUGACCUGGAUGCAUGAGCAAGAUAACAUUCACAUCUGCAACGUCAAGAGAGAGGGGCACAAGGAAGCCUGACAUUAAUGAUUAACAGUGCUAAAAGCCCCUGCUUUUGUAUUCCCAUGGAGCCGGGGCUAUCUGCCGAUCAUGUGACCUGCAACGAGAAGAUUGGGGGAUUGAGCGCAAAAGCAAACACAGGUGUUUGGGCUGGAAUCGGUCGGUCGGUGCUGUUAGGGACAACUGCAAACACAGGCUGCCAUGCCUGGAGAUGCGAAUGCCCGCCCACACCAACAGGACAGCCAACCGGAGUCAUCGACUCAACUCUGACGUUCUCGGCCUGCCUUUUCUCUGAACAAUUAAGACUCUUCAUUGGCCUAUUAAAGUCUGCUCUUUGAGUACAGUUUGACCUAAGGAGCUAUGAAUUCUUUAUUGAGCAUCAUAAAUAGGCAAAACCAUAAAUAAAAAUAAACAAAGCUUUUUAUAAAUAAAUAGAUAACAUAAAAACCACUUUCUUAAUGUAGCAAAAGUUGUAAAAUUAUUGCACCUCAUAUGAGGUCACCACUUAUAGUGUCAACGUUUUUAAGUUCAAUUCACAUUGUUUGCAAGAGACUCGUCUGGUUUCGUUCAUCUAAAAAGCCGACUCAUUGUAAGCUAGUUUCGAGUUGAUUGGGAGGGCAUUUGUUGAUUUAAAUGCGAAUAUGGAUGUAAUUUAUUUUCUCAUACUUGGCUGCACUCAUUUUUAAUGCAAGCAUGAUUAAAUAAACAUAUUUUAAUCCACA